UAUAUAUUGGCAAAUUGAACUCCAAUAAAAAUAUACAUAAACAAAUGAAAAGGAAAAAAAAUGUUGACUUAUUACUACUAAUUUUUUCAGCGUUCCCUGCACCAUGGGCCAUCUUCCUCUAGAGGUCCAGCAUUUGUGAUCUGCACAUCAAGGCUAUGUCAUGGGACCUCAAGCCAACAUCAUGGGCUAUUGAAACUUCAAGAGGAUCAUUUCUUUGCCAUAAACCUUCAGUGGCUCCCUUGUACUCUUUGAAGGCUAAAAUUCUGAAACCCAGCUGUCCUGAACUGCAAAUUGCUUAACCUCCUCAUUCUCCCUAUAAAAUGAGAAUGUUAUCAGUACUUGUUCAAUAAGAGAGUUGAGAAUUAAAUAUUUAGAACUGUACCUGGACA